rnacentral:lncRNA from 1 species
UCUAGCCAUAAAUAAAUAAUUAAACCAUUUAAUUAUCUUUACUCAUCUCCGUUGUUUCUUCAAUCUCUACCUUACACGGUGUACGAUCCAUUAGGUUUCUUUUAGCGAGGAAGUAGGAUUGAUGAAGAAAUGAGUGACCUAGAGGAAGUAAGAUUGCUAGCUAUGUUCCUCUAGGUGGCCGGCCUCUUAGAGAGCAAAGAGAGCUUUUGUUCUCAUCUUUUCUCC